rnacentral:rRNA from 1 species
UGCAAGUCGAGCGAACUGAUUAGAAGCUUGCUUCUAUGACGUUAGCGGCGGACGGGUGAGUAACACGUGGGCAACCUGCCUGUAAGACUGGGAUAACUUCGGGAAACCGAAGCUAAUACCGGAUAGGAUCUUCUCCUUCAUGGGAGAUGAUUGAAAGAUGGUUUCGGCUAUCACUUACAGAUGGGCCCGCGGUGCAUUAGCUAGUUGGUGAGGUAACGGCUCACCAAGGCAACGAUGCAUAGCCGACCUGAGAGGGUGAUCGGCCACACUGGGACUGAGACACGGCCCAGACUCCUACGGGAGGCAGCAGUAGGGAAUCUUCCGCAAUGGACGAAAGUCUGACGGAACAACGCCGCGUGAGUGAUGAAGGCUUUCGGGUCGUAAAACUCUGUUGGUAGGGAAGAA